CGAGCCUAGUGAUAGCUGGUUAUUCAGAAAAAGGAUUUUAGUCCAACCUAAAGUCUUAUUUUUAAGUUAAAAAUUCCUAUUGACUUUAGAGCAAUUCAAAUAGGGUACAGCCUAUUUGAAACAGGAUACAACCUCAUCUGACGGGUAAAAUUUUAUUUCAACUCCUAAGUAGGCCUAAGAGCAGCCACCUUUUUAAAAGCGUCAUAGCUUAGUCUUCCCAAUCCCCUAAUUCCCCACACCUAUUCCAACCCUCUAACGAUACUGAAUAAUUCUAUACCCCUAUAGAAAAUUUUAUGUUGAAACUAGUAACAAGAAGAAAACUCCUUCUCUUAAAUGCGAGCAUAAUUCAGAAAGGAUCGACCACUGAUAAUUAACGCCUAUGAACAAAUAUUAGCAACCCAUCAAGAAAAACCUAAUUUUAUCCACGUUAACCUGACACAAGAGCAUUUCAAGAAAGAUUAAAAGAAAGAGAAGGAACUCGGCAAAUAUUAACCCCGCCUGUUUACCAAAAACAUCGCCUCUUGAUUAAAAAUAAGAGGUCCAGCCUGCCCAGUGACGAAUGUUCAACGGCCGCGGUAUCCUAACCGUGCGAAGGUAGCGUAAUCACUUGUUCUUUAAAUGGGGACUAGUAUGAAUGGCACCACGAGGGUUAUACUGUCUCCUCUAUCCAAUCAGUGAAACUAAUCUCCCCGUGAAGAAGCGGGGAUAAAUAUAUAAGACGAGAAGACCCUAUGGAGCUUUAAACUUCUCUUCAGACGCUAAAUUAUUACCCCAAGUCACUGACCCUCCCGCAAUUACCGCGCGCCAUGAAGAUGAAUUUUAGGUUGGGGUGACCAUGGAGUACAAAAAAACCUCCACGCUGAACAGGCCUCUUUUAGACCUUGAGUAAAGGACCACAACCCAAAACACUAAUAAACUAACAUCCAUUGACCCAAUUUUAUUUGAUCAACGAACCAAGUUACCCUAGGGAUAACAGCGCAAUCUACUUCAAGAGUUCUUAUCGACAAGUGGGUUUACGACCUCGAUGUUGGAUCAGGGUACCCCAGUGGUGCAGCCGCUACUAACGGUUCGUUUGUUCAACGAUUAAAACCCU
rnacentral:rRNA from 1 species